UACGUAGGGGCCUAGCGUUGUCCGGAUUUAUUGGGCGUAAAGGGCGCGUAGGCGGCCACGCACGUCCGUUGUGAAAUCGCCCGGCUCAACUGGGCGGGGUCAGCGGAUACGGUGUGGCUCGAGCAAGCUAGGGGGCAAUGGAAUUCCCGGUGUAGUGGUGGAAUGCGUAGAUAUCGGGAGGAACACCAGUGGCGAAGGCGGUUGCCUGGAGCUUUGCUGACGCUGAGGCGCGAAAGCGUGGGGAGCGAUCCGG
rnacentral:rRNA from 1 species